GAAGAAUCAAUGUAACUAGCUACCUGCAGUGUUGUUCAUCCGGAUACGCAUGUAAGGAUCACAAGAAAGAUAAAGGUUCUUAACAGAACGCCAUUAGAACCAUGCGAAAGCUAAUUGAGGCUAAUGGUGGAGGAAGUACUAAGUGCCAGUGGAUUAAUGUGAGGUUUAGCUAGGAACCACUGAAGAUGUUAAAAGUUUAUUGAGAGGUAAUACUCAGUAUUGAUAUGGGAGGUAAUCUUGGUACCAUUAGUACUUUAUUUUGUAU